UACAGAGGGUGCGAGCGUUAAUCGGAAUUACUGGGCGUAAAGCGUCUGUAGGUGGCUUUUUAAGUCCGCCGUCAAAUCCCAGGGCUCAACUCUGGACAGGCGGUGGAAACUACCAAGCUGGAGUACGGUAGGGGCAGAGGGAAUUUCCGGUGGAGCGGUGAAAUGCGUAGAUAUCGGAAGGAACGCCGGUGGCGAAAGCGACGUGCUGGACCUCUUCUGACGCUGAGGCGCGAAAGCCAGGGGAGCAAACGGG
rnacentral:rRNA from 1 species